AGAGUUUGAUCAUGGCUCAGAUUGAACGCUGGCGGCAGGCCUAACACAUGCAAGUCGAACGGUAACAGGAAGCAGCUUGCUGCUUCGCUGACGAGUGGCGGACGGGUGAGUAAUGUCUGGGAAGCUGCCUGAUGGAGGGGGAUAACUACUGGAAACGGUAGCUAAUACCGCAUAAUGUCGCAAGACCAAAGAGGGGGACCUUCGGGCCUCUUGCCAUCGGAUGUGCCCAGAUGGGAUUAGCUUGUUGGUGGGGUAACGGCUCACCAAGGCGACGAUCCCUAGCUGGUCUGAGAGGAUGACCAGCCACACUGGAACUGAGACACGGUCCAGACUCCUACGGGAGGCAGCAGUGGGGAAUAUUGCACAAUGGGCGCAAGCCUGAUGCAGCCAUGCCGCGUGUAUGAAGAAGGCCUUCGGGUUGUAAAGUACUUUCAGCGGGGAGGAAGGGAGUAAAGUUAAUACCUUUGCUCAUUGACGUUACCCGCAGAAGAAGCACCGGCUAACUCCGUGCCAGCAGCCGCGGUAAUACGGAGGGUGCAAGCGUUAAUCGGAAUUACUGGGCGUAAAGCGCACGCAGGCGGUUUGUUAAGUCAGAUGUGAAAUCCCCGGGCUCAACCUGGGAACUGCAUCUGAUACUGGCAAGCUUGAGUCUCGUAGAGGGGGGUAGAAUUCCAGGUGUAGCGGUGAAAUGCGUAGAGAUCUGGAGGAAUACCGGUGGCGAAGGCGGCCCCCUGGACGAAGACUGACGCUCAGGUGCGAAAGCGUGGGGAGCAAACAGGAUUAGAUACCCUGGUAGUCCACGCCGUAAACGAUGUCGACUUGGAGGUUGUGCCCUUGAGGCGUGGCUUCCGGAGCUAACGCGUUAAGUCGACCGCCUGGGGAGUACGGCCGCAAGGUUAAAACUCAAAUGAAUUGACGGGGGCCCGCACAAGCGGUGGAGCAUGUGGUUUAAUUCGAUGCAACGCGAAGAACCUUACCUGGUCUUGACAUCCACGGAAGUUUUCAGAGAUGAGAAUNCCACCUUCCUCCAGUUUAUCACUGGCAGUCUCCUUUGAGUACCCGUUAUGGAGUUAUCUGCUGAUGCAGGAACAUAAACGCUAUUAUUUCCUGCUUUAGGAUUAGCUGGGUUUCCAACAGUUAUAACAGAAUCAGCAGUAGCAAAAGCGAUACCUACUUUGACAUUAGUAUUCAGAUCGUAACCGUAAUAAUCCUGCAAAGCUGUACGAAUAAAUGUUGCAGCCUGACCACUUAGCAAUGAACGCCCCGUAUCAAUCCCUCUAGAAUCAUCCCAGCCACGAAUAAACUCACCACGUAAAUCAGGCAAUUUAUUUGUCGGGUAAGCCUUUGCCAGUUCCGGGUAUUCUUCAGCAGAAAAAGCUGCUCCGUUGCAUUUCAGCCAGCCUGUUGGAGGUGUCUCUGAAGGCCACGGAACAGGUGCACCAACAGGUAAUGCUGAACCUUCUCCCAAACCAAGGUUUUCGAGAGCCGUUUUCACCGUGCCAUCCGAUUUGAUAUCGCCAAACGGAUUCUUGCGGCUUAACAGCAGAGCACGAAGCGCGGUAAGCAACUGGUCGUUUCGCCCCUUCUCCAGGCUGGCACCGGAUGCCUCCACCACGC
rnacentral:rRNA from 1 species